GAUGAACGCGGGCGGCGUGCCUAACACAUGCAAGUCGAACGGGAUGCGUAUCGGAAAAGCUUCGGCCGGAAGAUACGUUAUCUAGUGGCGGACGGGUGAGUAACACGUGGGUAACCUGCCUUAUGGAGGGGGAUAACAGAGAGAAAUCACUGCUAAUACCGCAUAAGCACACAGUACCGCAUGGUACAGGGUGAAAAGAUUUAUCACCAUAAGAUGGACCCGCGUCUGAUUAGCCAGUUGGCAGGGUAAAAGCCUACCAAAGCAACGAUCAGUAGCCGAUCUGAGAGGAUGACCGGCCACAUUGGGACUGAGACACGGCCCAAACUCCUACGGGAGGCAGCAGUGGGGAAUAUUGCACAAUGGGGGAAACCCUGAUGCAGCGACGCCGCGUGAGUGAAGAAGUAUUUCGGUAUGUAAAGCUCUAUCAGCAGGGAAGAUAAUGACAGUACCUGACUAAGAAGCCCCGGCUAACUACGUGCCAGCAGCCGCGGUAAUACGUAGGGGGCAAGCGUUAUCCGGAUUUACUGGGUGUAAAGGGAGCGUAGACGGAGUGGCAAGUCUGAAGUGAAAACCCUGGGCUUAACCUAGGGACUGCUUUGGAAACUGUUAAUCUAGAGUGUUGGAGAGGUAAGUGGAAUUCCUGGUGUAGCGGUGAAAUGCGUAGAUAUCAGGAAGAACACCGGAGGCGAAGGCGGCUUACUGGACAAUAACUGACGUUGAGGCUCGAAAGCGUGGGGAUCAAACAGG
rnacentral:rRNA from 1 species